rnacentral:rRNA from 1 species
AGUGAACGCUGGCGGUAGGCCUAACACAUGCAAGUCGAACGGCAGCACGGGAGCUUGCUCCUGGUGGCGAGUGGCGAACGGGUGAGUAAUAUAUCGGAACGUAUCCAAUAAUGGGGGAUAACUAGUCGAAAGAUUAGCUAAUACCGCAUACGCCCUGAGGGGGAAAGCUGGGGAUCUUCGGACCUGGCGUUAAUGGAGCGGCCGAUAUCUGAUUAGCUAGUAGGUGGGGUAAAAGCUCACCUAGGCGACGAUCAGUAGCUGGUCUGGGAGGACGACCAGCCACACUGGAACUGGGAAACGGUCCAGACUCCUACGGGAGGAAGCAGUGGGGAAUUUUGGACAAUGGGCGCAAGCCUGCUCCAGCCAUUCCGCGUGAGUGAAGAGGGCCUUCGGGUUGUAAAGCUCUUUCGCAAGGGAAGAAAACUUAUCCUCUAACAUAGGAUGAGGUUGACGGUACCUUGAUAAGAAGCACCGGCUAACUACGUGCCAGCAGCCGCCGUAA